rnacentral:rRNA from 1 species
UAGGGAAUCUUCGGCAAUGGACGAAAGUCUGACCGAGCAACGCCGCGUGAGUGAAGAAGGUUUUCGGAUCGUAAAACUCUGUUGGUAGAGAAGAACGUUGGUGAGAGUGGAAAGCUCAUCAAGUGACGGUAACUACCCAGAAAGGGACGGCUAGACUACGUACCAG